rnacentral:rRNA from 1 species
UACGUAGGGGGCGAGCGUUGUCCGGAGUUACUGGGCGUAAAGCGCACGCAGGCGGUCUGCUAAGUUUGGAGUGACAGUUGGUGGCUUAACUGCCAAAGUGCUUCGAAAACUGACAGACUUGAGGGCUUCAGAGGGACACGGAAUUCCGGGUGGAGUGGUGAAAUGCGUAGAGAUCCGGAGGAACACCAAAGGCGAAGGCAGUGCCUGGGGGAGUACCUGACGCUCAGGUGCGAAAGCCAGGGGAGCGAACGGG